UUCCUGCAUCUGCGAGCCCAGUUCUUCCUACUCCCAAAAACAUGACGAGUCCAUGUAUGCUUCACUCAGCCAAGCGGAUAUCCUCCCAUGGACAGGCAUUUCAGCUGCCACCUCUGCUAAGGGUCCACUGAGCUGUGGCCUCAGCUCCACCAUAUACUGGUCUGUAGAGAAGCUGUAUCCAAGGUGCUGUGGGCAGAGACUGCAGCAGCAAUGAGCCAAGCAGCAGCAAGCAGAAUGCAGAUGGCUGCCUGCGGAAGCUGUGGUAUGUAUAUAGUCCUAGCAGGUGAGCUGGAACAGAGGUAUGUUUGCAUGAAGUGCCGCCUUAUAGCGUUACUGGAAGAAAAGAUUAAGGGGUUGCAGAUGCAGGUAGAUACCCUGGUGGAGUUUAGACAGGGCUUUGAGCAGCUGAUGGAGGACAGGCUAGGAGGGACUGAAGGGGAAUGCUCAGGGGUGCAGGUGGAAGCAGAGGUAGAGGACAGUGAGGGGGGAACGUUAGAGGGAGAACAAGGGCAGUGGAAGCAUGUGACCGUGAGAAGCAGGCCAAGGAAAAGGAGGGCUAGUGAGGGGGAAAUAGAACUCAGGAACAGGUUUGGGUGUUUGGAUAAUGAGGAGGGUGGGCAGCAGGUGGUGAAUGAAGGUGGGAGAGUGAGGAAGAAGAGAAGAGCGGCUAGUCCAAUAGAGAGAGGGGAGGAGUUGAUGGAGACAGCACCAAUUCUGGGCCCCCGGAGGAUUCAGGAAGGCACAAGGGGGAGUAUGAGGGAAGAUAGGAACAGACACAGGUUAGGACUAGAGAGAUCAGAGACUAGAUUAGUAGAUCGCACUGUUGCCAGGCGACGGCAGGUGUAUGUGAUUGGGGAUUCUUUACUGAGGAGAUUAGACAGGCCUGUGACCAGGGCGGACCCGGAGAACAGAAGG